CCUACGGGGUGCAGCAGUGGGGAAUAUUGGACAAUGGGCGAAAGCCUGAUCCAGCCAUGCCGCGUGUGUGAAGAAGGCCUUCGGGUUGUAAAGCACUUUCAGUGGGGAAGAAAGCCUUGGGGCUAAUACCCUCGAGGAAGGACAUCACCCACAGAAGAAGCACCGGCUAACUCCGUGCCAGCAGCCGCGGUAAUACGGAGGGUGCGAGCGUUAAUCGGAAUUACUGGGCGUAAAGCGCGCGUAGGCGGUCUGAUAAGCCGGUUGUGAAAGCCCCGGGCUCAACCUGGGAACGGCAUCCGGAACUGUCAGGCUAGAGUGCAGGAGAGGAAGGUGGAAUUCCCGGUGUAGCGGUGAAAUGCGUAGAGAUCGGGAGGAAUACCAGUGGCGAAGGCGGCCUUCUGGACUGACACUGACGCUGAGGUGCGAUAGCGUGGGUAGCAAACAGGAUUAGAUACCCGAGUAGUC
rnacentral:rRNA from 1 species